rnacentral:rRNA from 1 species
GACGAAUGCUGGCUGCGUGCUUAACACAUGCAAGUCGAACGGUGAAAGGGAGCUUGCUCCCUGGAUCAGUGGCGAACGGGUGAGUAACACGUGGGCAACCUUCCCCUCACUCUGGGAUAACUCCGGGAAACCGGGGCUAAUACCGGCUACGACCUGGUGCGACAUCGCACCGGGUGGAAAGAACUUCGGUGAGGGAUGGGCACGCGAUGUGCCUAUCAGCUGGUUGGUGGGGUAACGGCCCACCAAGGCGACGACGGCUAGCCGGCCUGAGAGGGGGACCGGGCACCCUGGGAGUGAGGCGCGGCCCAGACUCCUACUGGAGGCAGCAGUGGGGAAUAGUGCGCAAUGGGGGAAAGCCUGACGCAGCGACACAGCGUGAGGGAAGAAGGCCUUCGGGUUGUAAACCUCUUUCAGCGGGGACGAAGCGAAAGUGACGGUACCCGCAGAAGAAGCACCGGCUCACUACGUGCCAGCCGCCGCGGUAAGAC